rnacentral:rRNA from 1 species
UAAUACGUAGGGGGCAAGCGUUAUCCGGAUUCAUUGGGCGUAAAGAGCGCGUAGGCGGAUUGUUAAGCGCGAUGUGAAAACUGGGGGCUCAACCCGCAGCCUGCAUCGCGAACUGGCAGUCUUGAGUCUGGUAGAGGAGUGUGGAAUUCCCAGUGUAGCGGUGAAAUGCGCAGAUAUUGGGAGGAACACCAGUGGCGAAGGCGGCACUCUGGGCCACGACUGACGCUGAGGCGCGAAAGCUAGGGGAGCGAACAGG